rnacentral:rRNA from 1 species
CACAAGCGGAGGAGCAUGUGGUUUAAUUCGUAUGAUACGCGAGGAACCUUACCUGGGCUUAAAUGCUUAAUGACGUACUGGGAAACUGGUAUUUCUUCGGACAUUUUGCAAGGUGCUGCAUGGUUGUCGUCAGCUCGUGCCGUGAGGUGUCGGGUUAAGUCCCAUAACGAGCGCAACCCCUAUUGUUAGUUGCCAUCAGGUCAUGCUGGGGACUCUAACAAAACUGCCCGCGUAAGCGUGGAGGAAGGUGGGGAUGACGUCAAAUCAGCACGGCCCUUACGUCCAGGGCUACACACGUGCUACAAUGGCCGGUACAGAGGGCAGCCACUUGGUGACAAGGAGCAAAUCUCAAAAGCCGGUCUCAGUUCGGAUCGGAGUCUGCAACUCGACUCCGUGAAGUUGGAUUCGCUAGUAAUCGUAGAUCAGCAAUGCUACGGUGAAUACGUUCCCGGGCCUU